rnacentral:rRNA from 1 species
CUGGCUCAGGAUGAACGCUAGCGACAGGCCUAACACAUGCAAGUCGAGGGGCAGCGCGGGAGAAGCUUGCUUUCCUGGCGGCGACCGGCGCACGGGUGCGUAACAGGUGUGCAAUCUGUCCAUAGUCGGGGGAUAGCCCAGCGAAAGCUGAAUUAAUACUCCAUGUGAAUCGAAGCCGCAUGACUUUGAUUUGAAACGCAAGGACUAUGGGUGAGCACGCUUCUGAUUAGAUAGUUGGUGGGGUAACGGCUCACCAAGUCGACGAUCAGUAGGGGUUCUGAGAGGAAGGUCCCCCACAUUGGAACUGAGACACGGUCCAAACUCCUACGGGAGGCAGCAGUGAGGAAUAUUGGUCAAUGGGCGAGAGCCUGAACCAGCCAAGUCGCGUGAAGGAUGAAGGUUCUAUGGAUUGUAAACUUCUUUUGUCCGAGGGUAAAAAAGGCCACGUGUGGCUUCUUGCAAGUAUCGGACGAAUAAGCAUCGGCUAACUCCGUGCCAGCCGCGGC